rnacentral:rRNA from 1 species
GUGCCAGCAGCCGCGGUAAUACGUAGGGUGCAAGCGUUAAUCGGAAUUACUGGGCGUAAAGCGUGCGCAGGCGGUUUUGUAAGACAGAUGUGAAAUGCCCGGGCUUAACCUGGGAACUGCAUUUGUGACUGCAAGGCUAGAAUCUGGCAGAGGGGGGUAGAAUUCCACGUGUAGCAGUGAAAUGCGUAGAGAUGUGGAGGAACACCCGAUGGCGAAGGCAGCCCCCUGGGCUAAGAUUGACGCUCAUGCACGAAAGCGUGGGGAGCAAACAGGAUUAGAUACCCUGGUAGUCC